GAUGAAGAACGUAGCGAAAUGCGAUAAGUAGUGUGAAUUGCAGAAUUUAGUGAAUCAUCGAAUCUUUGAACGCACAUUGCGCCCUUUGGUAUUCCUUAGGGCAUGCCUGUUCGAGCGUCAUCUACACCCUCAAGCACAGCUUGGUGAUGGGCGCCUGUCCCGCCCCCCACGGGGGCGCGGACUCGCCUCAAAUGCAUUGGCGGCCGGCGACCUGGCUUCGAGCGCAGCAGAAACGCGUACUCGGGGACCGGGCGCCCGCUCCCAGAAGCCAUCCCACCCAGUUUGACCUCGGAUCAGGUAGGGAUACCCGCUGAACUUAAGCAUAUCAAUAAGCGGAGGA
rnacentral:misc_RNA from 1 species